UACAGAGGGUGCAAGCGUUAAUCGGAAUUACUGGGCGUAAAGCGUGCGUAGACGGUUAUCUAAGUCGGGUGUGAAAGCCCCGGGCUCAACCUGGGAAUUGCAUUCGAGACUGAAUAGCUAGGGUACGGAAGAGGGAAGCGGAAUUCCUGGUGUAGCGGUGAAAUGCGUAGAUAUCAGGAGGAACACCGAUGGCGAAGGCAGCUCUCUGGCCUAUAACUGACGCUGAGGUGCGAAAGCGUGGGGAGCAAACGGG
rnacentral:rRNA from 1 species